rnacentral:rRNA from 1 species
UACGUAGGGACCGAGCGUUGUCCGGAUUCAUUGGGCGUAAAGAGCUCGUAGGCGGCUCGGUAAGUCGGGUGUGAAACCUCCAGGCUCAACCUGGAGACGCCACUCGAUACUGCCGUGGCUAGAGUCCGGUAGAGGAGCGUAGAAUUCCUGGUGUAGCGGUGAAAUGCGCAGAUAUCAGGAGGAAUACCAGCGGCGAAGGCGGCGCUCUGGGCCGGUACUGACGCUGAGGAGCGAAAGCGUGGGGAGCAAACAGG